rnacentral:rRNA from 1 species
CGGUAAUUCCAGCUCCAAUAGCGUAUACUAAAGUUGUUGCAGUUAAAAAGCUCGUAGUUGGAUUUCUGCGGGGACGGAGCGGCCGGACGCAACUUGUGUCUCGAGCUAGCGCUUUCCCCGCAUCCUGCCGCGAACCGUGCUACCAUUAGUUUGGUGGCGCUGGGGAUCGGCUCGAUUACUUUGAGAAAAAUAGAGUGUUCAAAGCAGGCCACACGCCUUGAAUAAGUUAGCAUGGAAUAAUGACUAAGGACUUUGGUUCUUUUCGUUGGUGUUCGGGACUGAAGUAAUGAUUGAUAGGGACAGUUGGGGCGGUCCGUAUUCCAAAGCGAGAGGUGAAAUUCUUAGACCUUCGGAAGACGAACAGCUGCGAAAGCGUUCCGCAAGGAUGUUCCCUUUGAUCAAGAACGAAAGUUGGGGGAUCGAAGACGAUCAGAUACCGUCGUAGUCUCAACUAUAAACUAUACCAGCUAGGGAUCGGCCAACGUUUAAUUAUUCGACUUGGUCGGCACCUUAUGAGAAAUCAAAGCAUCUGGGUUCCGGGGGGAGUAUGGUCGCAAGGCUGAAACUUAAAGGAAUUGACGGAAGGGCACCACCAGGCGUGGAGCCUGUGGCUUAAUUUGACUCAACACGGGAAAACUUACCAGGUCCAGACAUAGGAAGGAUUGACAGAUUGAUAGCUCUUUCUUGAUUCUGUGGGUGGUAGUGCAUGGCCGUUUUUAGUCGGUGAAGUGAUUUGUCUGCUUAAUUGCGUUAACGGACGAGACCCCAGCCUGCUAAAUAGCGCGGCCGAGCUUUGCUCGGUACGAGCUUCUUAGAGGGACCAUGAUGCGCGAUAGCACAAGGAAGUUUGGGGCAACAACAGGUCUGUGAUGCCCUUAGAUGUUCUGGGCCGCACACGGGCUACACUGGCGCCUGCAACGAGCAUAUCAGCUGGCCCGAGAGGGUCUUGGCUAAUCUUUGGAACCGGCGCCGUGCUUGGGAUUGACCAUUGCAAUUGUUGGUCAUGCAACGAGGAAUGCCUUGUAAACGCGAGUCAUCAGCUCGCAUUGAAUACGUCCCUGCCCUUUGUACACACCGCCCGUCGCUCCUACCGAUGAAUGUUCCGAUGAAAUUUUCGGAGAGCGCCGGAGAACGGGGCUCUGCCCUGCAGAACUGGAGGCUCAAAGUCACUUAAAUCUGAACAUUUCGAGGAAGGAGAAGUCGUAACAAGGUAGCCG